CACGUAUGUGACUUGGGAAUGCUUUUGAUGCUUAGUCCUUGGCAGAAGAGUAAACUCAACUUUCAAUUUGAGGGACACUGUAAUUGAGCCAACAGGCACUUCCUGCCACCUACACAUUCUGGAAAGAGGCCUGAAAUAGCAGGCAAUUAUUUCUUCAUCUUUAAUUUUUUAGCUGGUGAGUAGAUGAAAUAGGUCAUAAGAUUCCUUUUUUAAAUUUUCCUAUCAAAUUUUGGAUAUCUCUUUGUUGAAAGCUUCCAUGUAAUUGUAAUUGCCUGUUUCCACAUCCGUAUCCCCAUUAGGCUUGUUUUCCUUACGAAGGGUGUCAUACCUUUUUUAAGCCCCAGAUCUCCAUGAUCUAAUAAUGCUUAGCCCUAGCAUGUACUCAACAAUUAUGCAGUGAAAGAAUUAAAAGGUCCUCUUCCUGUAUUGUCAGUGCACAUGGCAAACUUCAACUAACAUUCUCAACUUACAGUUUCUCCCCCAAAGCAAUAGUUAAGUGGCAUCAGUCCCAGCCACCAAGUGGUAAGCCAAGAGAAAGUAGUUGUCAAAAGUCCAGAAGUGCCUAUUGCCAUGAUCUCACCAAAUAAAGAAAAUUCAUGUCCAACUCUUAAAUAAUUACUGAACUAGAAAUAUAAAGUGCCACAAAUUAUUCUGUAUUCUGAAUACCAGAAUUGGGUUGGUAUAGGGAAAAAGAAAUAAUAAGAUUUUUCUGUGUAGUAAAAGGCACCUUUGGUUGGAAAAAUACCUAUAUACUGAGCACUGUUAACUAAUUCCUGGCUAAUUCAGCAUAAAUACUAUGGGAUACAGCUAUUUUAUCUCUCAGAAAAGAACAUGACAUUUAAAGGUGUAGAUUAGGUAAAGGAAGGCAUUUUAAAGAGCUAAUACUUGAUUUAUCAACUGAUGAAAUAAUCAAAACAUGCAUUUGGUCAAAAAUGUUAAUUCAGAAAAUAGUGUAAGCUUCAGACACCAAAAAUGAAACCUUGCAUGUUUUCAGUUAAGCUUUCUCAUCAUUUAUUAUUGCCCUUUUUCCCCCACAUGGAGAAAAAUGUCUGGGAGAAAAUAUACUCAGGAAUGACUAUAAAAUCAUAGAUUGUAAAGUUGUCAAGAAUUUUAAGUUAUUCUAAAAAGGAUAGAAUAUUUCAUAUAUAGAACAAAACUGAAACCCUUGAUAAUAUCCAAGAAAUUUUUCUUCAUGGAUUUUGAGACAAUCCUACCAAGAAACUAGAGGAAGAAAAUAAAUAAUAAAGCCAUAGAAUAAAAAUAAAAGCCUAAACCAGGGUAAAAACUCUGCAAGCAUUAUGAAAAGAAUCAAAGCCAGGUAGUGGCUUUCAAAUUUAGGCAUCUCAGAUAUGUCAAACCCAGUUUCAAAAGAAUAUACUCAAAAAUGUUUGUAUUAUGUAAAGGUAAUAUUUCAGCAGAAUAAGUUGUAUACAUCUCACUAGAUUUUUCAUGGAAUUCUCUUAGCCAAUGUAAGUCUAAAAUAAUUUUUGAAGCAGAUUAAUCAUAUGAAGAAAUUACUUCAACCCAGAAAAACAGUAGAAAUGGAAUGAGCAAGAGAGAGGGGAAGACCGAAGGAUUGAGAAUGGUAAUGAAGCAGGGAGAAAAGCACAAACGUGAAUUCAAAUUUAUUAGAAAGGGCUUAAAAUAAAUGAAUCUGUCUAACUUUUGGUCUCUAUGUAAUAGAACUUUCAUGAAUUUGAAACUUUUUCUUCAUGUCAGAGAUGCACAGAACAAGAGACCGCCUGCUUGUAGCCUCAGGGAGGAGGGAGGCCAUCAAGACCCGAGAUAAUCACAGCCUAGUAGGAAGCCAGGAGUGUCAAGCAGCUAUACUCCAUCAUCUCGUUUGGAGAAAGGAGAAAUAAGUGGUCAGUCCUUUGUGAAUGUCCCUUCCUCUCUAAAUCAGCAGUGCAAUACCUGACAAUAUUGCAGGACCAAGGGACAGGACAACCAUAUAAAAACCAUUUGAUUUUUGACUCCCCCUGAGAGAAUUUUCCAUCCAGGAGACUGGAUGGCUCUAGGAUCAUCAUCAGAAAUUUUUAAAUCCGUGCAUACACCAAGUUCUUUCUGGAGUUUAGUAAAUUAAAACACUUCUUGAAAAGGAGUCCUCAGCCUCAGAAAGAUCAGGAACCCUGACCAGUUGAUACUUAUCUCAUUCAUUUACUCAGAAGUGUUGAGGAAGAGACUACUAUAGGACAGGCCUCUUGCAGGCUCUGGGAGAAAAAGAUGAAUCAGACAUAAUCUCCGCCAAAUAGAGACUCUGGUCUCUGACCAUCAGGUCCCUGAGCAUAAGUCUUUGCUAGCAUAUUCCACUCCUUUCUCUGUUUUCUUUCUGCCUGACAGUCAAAGACAGUGGCUUCAUUUGCCAGAUAUAUGCAUUCUGUUUCUUUUGACUGAAGAAGAGUGAGCUAAUGAUGAUGGCAUUCAGUGAAAAUAGUCCAACAGUCCUUAAAAACUUGCUCUUGGGUGAGCAACAGAGACAGAUCUUUCUUCUCGUUGUUGUAAUUUUUAUUUUUGCUUUCACACAACAUCUUCCUCCACAUAAUUGUUACUUUACCGAAGAUAUAAUUUGAGCUGCAGAGCACUGAGUUCCUGUAACAUGAAAUUUGUUGCUUGAAAGUCCCCUGACACACUGUUAAAUAUUAGUCUGUUCUUCUCCCUCCAGAUAGGGUGUCAUUGGCAAAGAAGUGAUUGUACGUUCAAAAAUUCCAAUAUAAGAAAUUUCAAAAUAACCCUGAGUAACUUCUCUAACUCUAACCUAGACAGGAAAUUUCUGGCUAACCUCACCUCCUCAUGUUUCAGCCUUCUUCCUUCUGACCAUAUGGCCUUCGAACAGCGAAUCAUUCUCUGUAAUUUAUUGUGUCCUUAAAAACAAUUAUAUUUAUUGUGGCUGCAUAAAAUCAAGCAAUAUUUACUGUGCCCCAUGCCAAAUGUAAUGAUAAUUAGCAUCCCUUUAAAAUACUGAAUAAUGAGAUUAUCUCAGAAUUUAAGUAUAUUCCUUUACCAGUUGAGUAUUUCAGUUUCAUAGAAAGGGGGUUUAGCUUCUUCAUAAUGUUAAAAAUAAUAGAACAGAGCAUUUCAAAUGUCUAGGUAGCUUCUACAAUUUCUAGUAGACAUUUUUCAAAAGUCUGUGUAUAAAGUCAGGAUUAGGGAAUGGAAAUUUAAUACUUCGUGAAUUUGAUGUUAACUGUAAUGUAAAAAGCUUCAGUUUCACUCCAUAGAUUCAAAAAGAAUAUUGAAAAAUGUUUGAUUAUUAAACCACCCAAUAAAUUUGUAGAAAUUACCAAAUUAACCAGGGUCCUGAAGUUCAAAGAGUUUACUUCAAAAAUAAUUUAUAUGACUUAAAAAUACAUCCAUUAAAAUAGUUCGGGGUAGAGAUAAGUUUGGUGAGAAAAUCUCACAUUUACUAUGUUAAUUGUUCUUUCUGAAAAACAAAAGUAGUAUUAUAAUGUAAGUAAAAAUAAUUCCAAGGAAAACUGUUCUUGUAGCUGGUUUUUAAAGUCACCUUAAUGAUUGCUUUGCAAAGUUGCUUGUUAUCAUCCUCAGGAAGGAGUCUGACAUUUUACCAAUAUCACAGCAUUUUCAAGGAAUAUAGGAAAUGGCAGUGAACCACUUCCAAGGAUCUUUCUUAGGCAGAGAAUUACAUUGACAAUUAACAUAUCAACAACAUAAGCAGAUGCUCAUAUCAGAUUCAGUCCAGUCAGUCUAUUCUGGGUGUUUAUAAACUGUAGAUUCAGACAAGAUGUAUACGCAUCUUCCUGAUUUACCAUUUUAGAGAUGUUAUGUACGUUAUGCAUACAAGAUAUGUUUCUUGUAACAUUUUAAAACCUUGUGGCAGCAUUUUUAUUGUAUGCAAAUGAGCAGCUUUUGAUUAGGUCCUGAGGCAGCUUCACCUGGGUGUUCAGGGGAAUGGCAGUUGGAAGUGAGGAAGAAUAUUUCAUCACCGAAGAGUGUUUUCCCCAGGGGCACACCACCAUUUGAUUUUGACAUUUAUUUGUCCUGUGCUCUAAAGGACAAAACUACAAUUACACUUUUUCCCCCUAUGGUAUAGUGGGCAUGAUGUCAGAAAAACCUAAGUCAAAGAUAGUAUGUUUGCACACAAAACAAGCUCUAAAACCAAAAUUAUUGAACAAGUCAAAAUCACAGUGCAUUAAAAAUACUGCUUGACUAGUAUGCAACAAUGAGUUUAUAUAGAAGCUAUCCAUGCAAACCCAACCCCAAGAAACGGGAUUAUAUCCAUUGAAGUAUUGUCUUCGGCUCUUUGUAGCAAAAACAAUGUGUCCAAUACUUGAUUACUAAAUUCUUCUUUGCCUUAUUCCACUUCUAGAAUCCUGAAACAAGAGUAUUCCCUGUUAGUUAAUUUGGUUAUACAGCAAUAAAUAAAUGUUUCCCAAAAUAUGUUCAGGUGCAUUUAAAUGUUUGCAAUCUAUUUUAAAUUUGAAAUAUGCAGCCCUUUUUCUCCAUCAUAAAAUCAUGUAAACCAUGUGACUAGCCACUGUCACCUUUUUUCACAAAUGACUUGGUCAUGUUAAAAGGAGUUGUAAAAUAUGUUUCAUUUGUCCAUUUAUCAAAAUACAAAUACCUUUGCAAAUGAUUAUCUUGAGCAAGAAAUAGAAGGAAAGACACCAAAGAUAGCUAUGAUUUCUCUUAAAGAUGCAGUUAGUAAUGCUUAUUGUCUAAUGAUCCUUAUUCUAGCAAUUAUAAACAAUUCACUAAAGAGUUACAAAUUAACUUUCCUGGAAAUACACUAAAAUAUAUUCUUCCCAAAUCUAUGAUUGUCUGUGUCUCUUUAACCGAAGAAAAUAGUUGCAAAGAACAUUAUUUUUUGGAUAGUCAAAUAAAACUAAAAUUGCCAAGUCCCGCCCCUCCCCCCCAAACUCUAGAAUUGAUGCAUUCUGCAGUUUUCAGAAAAAAAAUUACCUUUUAAAAAAAUAUUUUGUAUGCAUGCAUUGUGUUUUUUCUAAACAUCAUAAAUCUAAAUCCAAAUAAGAAUUACAUAUCUGACACAUGAAAAGCUGAUUAUGAUGUCAAUAGUAUCAAAGAGAAAACUGACUCAGUGGUAUGUGCUCACAGUAAAAAAAAGUAAGAUGAGCUAAAAUCUUCUCUAAUUAAGGCAAUCCUUAAAUCAUGAAUUAUGUGGCUGUUAUGAAUUAUUAAGGAUGGUCCCAGUAAUUUAACCAAAAUAAUUCCCUUACUAUAUUCUGAAAAGCCAAGUAUUCUAAUAAUUCAAAGCUUUGAAAUCUUUCCUGUACUUUAAAGCAAAACAAUUAAAUUACCUUUUUAAAAGGCCAAAUGUUGAACCAUAAACUUCUUUUUCUAUCUUAAAAUGAUCCCUUGUUUAGUUUUAAUUAGAAAUAUUUGUAAUAAAAAUUUAAAAUCAUUAAUAUGAUUAAAAGGAACGUUUUAAGGAAUGAAUUAAACAGGAGCCCCGGCAAGUCUUUAUUUUAUUCAUUUGAUUAGUUCUCCUCCAGAGGGAGUCAGCCACUCCAUCAUGCAUUUUCUAGAAUGACCCUGAAAAGGGAAAUCCAAAGAAGUAAGAAUUAAAGGAUAAAUGGUCCAGUUCUUUACAAAUCGACUUAUAAAUGGAUGAUCAAAACUUUCUUAGAUCAACCCUUGCAGUCAAAAUACAACUGAUGCUCCAGAACAGAACCAGUCCUUUUUCCACAAAAGCAGUGUGUUUUUUGUUGUUUUUAGAAUGAACCUGGUUCAUCUUACUUUUAGGAGAUGCAUUCCUAUGGGUUUAGAAACUGACUUCUGCUCAUGAGGCAAAAGAAGAGUGAGUAGCCAGUGAGAGAGUGGUGCUGCAAAAGGAUCAAGUGAGAUUAGGAAUAUGACAAAGCUGUAUGAACUAGCAAGUACAAUUCCAAUGGAGGAACUCAUUUUUGUUAAAAUUUGAGAUCUAAAAAAAUGUUGAGGAGGGGUUGGAAGUCAAGAGGGAACCAAAUCCAUGCCACACCAGCUGGUGAAUAUGCAUCAUUUGAACUUUCUCCCAUGAGGUUGUCAAAUUCCCGCUGAGCUGAGAAACAUGUCAGAUCCCCUAUGGUGCUUUACAGCAUGUAUGGCAGUGCCUGGGGCCACUCAGAGUUCUUCAGAACAUCAUACUUAUGAGACCCUUGAAACAAGCUUAAAGAAAAAUAGAAAUAAAAACAAAAACUGAAUUGCCAUUAAAAAUUGUAUUGAUUUAAAAAAUAUUAAAAAGGAGUUCUCCUGUGGCAUAGAGGGUUAAAGAUUGACCGUUAACUGCAAUGGCUUGGGUUCAAUCCCUGGCUUAAGAACUUUCAUAUUCUGUCGGUGUGG
rnacentral:lncRNA from 1 species